AUACCCCGUCCGGUAUGAGCGCCAAAAGAUACCAUCCCUCAAUACCUUGUCUGGUAUGAGGAUGAAACUGUCCAUCCUCAUACCCCGUUUGGUAUGGGCACCAAAUUACCAAACUUCGAUACCUCGUCCGGUAUGAGACAACGUUCACGGUAGCGUCCUCUAUGUACCUGAUCCAUCCAUCAUCUCUCAGGAUAUCCAGUAAGGCUGCCGUUUCAUCCAUCCACUUAAUCAAUCAAUU
rnacentral:lncRNA from 1 species